GCAGUCGUGGCGGAAUUGGCAGACGCGUUAGCUUCAGGUGCUAAUGGGCAUUAGUCCGUGAGGGUUCAAGUCCCUUCGACUGCA
rnacentral:tRNA from 1 species